UAGGGAAUCUUCGGCAAUGGACGAAAGUCUGACCGAGCAACGCCGCGUGAGUGAAGAAGGUUUUCGGAUCGUAAAACUCUGUUGUUAGAGAAGAACAAGGACGUUAGUAACUGAACGUCCCCUGACGGUAUCUAACCAGAAAGCCACGGCUAACUACGUGCCAGCAGCCGCGGUAAUACGUAGGUGGCAAGCGUUGUCCGGAUUUAUUGGGCGUAAAGCGAGCGCAGGCGGUUUGUUAAGUCAGAUGUGAAAUCCCCGGGCUCAACCUGGGAACUGCAUCUGAUACUGGCAAGCUGGAGUCUCGUAGAGGGGGGUAGAAUUCCAGGUGUAGCGGUGAAAUGCGUAGAGAUCUGGAGGAAUACCGGUGGCGAAGGCGGCCCCCUGGACGAAGACUGACGCUCAGGUGCGAAAGCGUGGGGAGCAAACAGG
rnacentral:rRNA from 1 species